CAUGCAAGUCGAACGAGAGAGAAGGAGCUUGCUUCUUCGAUCGAGUGGCGAACGGGUGAGUAACGCGUGAGGAACCUGCCUCAAAGAGGGGGACAACAGUUGGAAACGACUGCUAAUACCGCAUAAGCCCACGGGUCGGCAUCGACCUGAGGGAAAAGGAGCAAUCCGCUUUGAGAUGGCCUCGCGUCCGAUUAGCUAGUUGGUGAGGUAACGGCCCACCAAGGCGACGAUCGGUAGCCGGACUGAGAGGUUGAACGGCCACAUUGGGACUGAGACACGGCCCAGACUCCUACGGGAGGCAGCAGUGGGGAAUAUUGCACAAUGGGGGAAACCCUGAUGCAGCGACGCCGCGUGGAGGAAGAAGGUCUUCGGAUUGUAAACUCCUGUUGUUGAGGAAGAUAAUGACGGUACUCAACAAGGAAGUGACGGCUAACUACGUGCCAGCAGCCGCGGUAAAACGUAGGUCACAAGCGUUGUCCGGAAUUACUGGGUGUAAAGGGAGCGCAGACGGGAAGACAAGUUGGAAGUGAAAUCUAUGGGCUUAACCCAUAAACUGCUUUCAAAACUGUUUUUCUUGAGUAGUGCAGAGGUAGGCGGAAUUCCCGGUGUAGCGGUGGAAUGCGUAGAUAUCGGGAGGAACACCAGUGGCGAAGGCGGCCUACUGGGCACCAACUGACGCUGAGGCUCGAAAGUGUGGGUAGCAAACAGGAUUAGAUACCCUGGUAGUCCACACCGUAAACGAUGAUUACUAGGUGUUGGAGGAUUGACCCCUUCAGUGCCGCAGUUAACACAAUAAGUAAUCCACCUGGGGAGUACGACCGCAAGGUUGAAACUCAAAGG
rnacentral:rRNA from 1 species